rnacentral:rRNA from 1 species
UUGAAGGCUGGAAUGAAUGGUUGGACAAGAAAUAAGCUGUCUUAAAUAAAAAUAUUGAACUUAACUUUUAAGUGAAAAGGCUUAAAUUUUCUAAAGGGACGAUAAGACCCUAUAAAACUUUAUAUUUAAAAGUAAUUGCAAUUAUUAUUUAAAGAUUUUAUUUUUAAAUAUUUUAUUGGGGUGAUAAGGAUAAAAUAUAAGACAACUGUCUUUUAUUUUAACAAUAAUUUUUGAGUAAAUGAUCUUAGUAAAGGAAUAAAAGAUUAAGUUACUUUAGGGAUAACAGCGUAAUUUUCUUUGAGAGUUCUUAUCGACAAGAAAGUUUGCGACCUCGAUGUUGAAUUAAAAGUUCUUUAUAGAGUAGAGACUAUAUUAGAAGGUCUGUUCGA